rnacentral:rRNA from 1 species
GGAGCUUGCUCCAGGCGUCGAGCGGCGGACGGGUGAGUAAUGCAUAGGAAUCUGCCCGGUAGUGGGGGAUAACCUGGGGAAACCCAGGCUAAUACCGCAUACGUCCUACGGGAGAAAGCAGGGGAUCCGUGUUCUUCGGAAUGGGGACCUUGCGCUAUCGGAUGAGCCUAUGUCGGAUUAGCUGGUUGGUGAGGUAAUGGCUCACCAAGGCGACGAUCCGUAGCUGGUCUGAGAGGAUGAUCAGCCACAUCGGGACUGAGACACGGCCCGAACUCCUACGGGAGGCAGCAGUGGGGAAUAUUGGACAAUGGGCGCAAGCCUGAUCCAGCCAUGCCGCGUGUGUGAAGAAGGCUUUCGGGUUGUAAAGCACUUUCAGUGAGGAAGAAGGCCUUGGGGCCAAUACCCCCGAGGAAGGACAUCACUCACAGAAGAAGCACCGGCUAACUCCGUGCCAGCAGCCGCGGUAAUACGGAGGGUGCGAGCGUUAAUCGGAAUUACUGGGCGUAAAGCGCGCGUAGGUGGCGUGAUAAGCCGGUUGUGAAAGCCCCGGGCUCAACCUGGGAACGGCAUCCGGAACUGUCAGGCUAGAGUGCAGGAGAGGAAGGUAGAAUUCCCGGUGUAGCGGUGAAAUGCGUAGAGAUCGGGAGGAAUACCAGUGGCGAAGGCGGCCUUCUGGACUGACACUGACACUGAGGUGCGAAAGCGUGGGUAGCAAACAGG